AUGAAGAACGCAGCGAAAUGCGAUAAGUAAUGUGAAUUGCAGAAUUCAGUGAAUCAUCGAAUCUUUGAACGCACCUUGCACCCUUUGGUAUUCCGAAGGGUACACCCGUUUGAGUGUCAUUGUAAUCUCACUUCUACAACUUUUUUGUUGUCGAAUGUGGACUUGGACGUCUGCCGUGUUUCAACGGCUCGUCUUAAAUGCCUGAGUGUACCCCGCUUUGCGGCGUAUUCGGUGUGAUAAACAUUUCACCGGAGUUUGGUCUUCUGACCGCGCUUUUGCAAUUGGUGGGCUCUAUGCUUUCCAACCGUCCCUUGUGGACAAAUCUUUGACAAUUUGACCUCAAAUCGGGUGGGACUACCCGCUGAACUUAAGCAUAUCAAUAAGCGGAGGAAAAGAAACU
rnacentral:rRNA from 1 species